rnacentral:lncRNA from 1 species
AGGCCAUUAGCAAGCAUUCUCCGAAGUCAGGAGAGAAGUUCGAGAGGCGUUCGCUGGUGAACACGCCUUCGAGCAACAGGGGCUGGCAUGAAAAGUGGUUCUACGUCAAAGGCCCCAAAAUCUCUUCCCUACCGAACUGGGCCACUGACGAGAAGAUCUCUGCUGACUUUGGAGAUAUUUCUGAAGAAAGAGAAAUAGAAAUGAUGGAACUUUUUGACAAUUUCCC